UACGGAGGGGGCUAGCGUUGCUCGGAAUUACUGGGCGUAAAGCGCGCGCAGGCGGCGGUGUUGGCCCGGCGUGAAAGCCCCCGGCUCAACCGGGGAGAGUCGUCGGGGACCGCACCGCUUGAGGGCGGUAGGGGCUGGUGGAAUGCCUGGUGUAGUGGUGAAAUGCGUAGAGAUCAGGCAGAACACCUGGGGCGAAGGCGGCCAGCUGGGCCGUCCCUGACGCUGAGGCGCGAAGGCGUGGGGAGCGAACGGG
rnacentral:rRNA from 1 species